rnacentral:rRNA from 1 species
CCUACGGGAGGCAGCAGUAGGGAAUAUUGCUCAAUGGGGGAAACCCUGAAGCAGCAACGCCGCGUGGAGGAUGAAGGUUUUCGGAUUGUAAACCCCUUUCGUUAGAGAAGAUAAUGACGGUAUCUAACCAAUAAGCACCGGCUAACUCCGUGCCAGCAGCCGCGGUAAUACGGAGGGUGCAAGCGUUACCCGGAUUCACUGGGCGUAAAGAGCGCGUAGGCGGGUAAGCAAGUCAGAUGUGAAAUCCUAGGGCUUAACCAUAGAACUGCAUUUGAAACUGUUGAUCUAGAGUAUAGGAGAGGUAGGUGGAAUUCUUGGUGUAGGGGUAAAAUCCGUAGAGAUCAGGAGGAAUACUGGUGGCGAAGGCGACCUGCUAGAACAAAACUGACGCUGAUGCGCGAAAGCGUGGGGAGCAAACAGGAUUAGAUACCCUAGUAGUC